rnacentral:rRNA from 1 species
GACGAACGCUGGCGGCGUGCUUAACACAUGCAAGUCGAACGGAAAGGCCCUGCUUUUGUGGGGUGCUCGAGUGGCGAACGGGUGAGUAACACGUGAGUAACCUGCCCUUGACUUUGGGAUAACUUCAGGAAACUGGGGCUAAUACCGGAUAGGAGCUCCUGCUGCAUGGUGGGGGUUGGAAAGUUUCGGCGGUUGGGGAUGGACUCGCGGCUUAUCAGCUUGUUGGUGGGGUAGUGGCUUACCAAGGCUUUGACGGAUAGCCGGCCUGAGAGGGUGACCGGCCACAUUAGGACUGAGAUACGGCCCAGACUCCUACGGGAGGCAGCAGUGGGGAAUAUUGCACAAUGGGCGGAAGCCUGAUGCAGCGACGCCGCGUGCGGGAUGACGGCCUUCGGGUUGUAAACCGCUUUCGCCUGUGACGAAGCGUGAGUGACGGUAAUGGGUAAAGAAGCACCGGCUAACUACGUG